GAUGAACGCUGGCGGCGUGCCUAAUACAUGCAAGUCGAGCGAACAGACGAGGAGCUUGCUCCUCUGAUGUUAGCGGCGGACGGGUGAGUAACACGUGGAUAACCUACCUAUAAGACUGGGAUAACUUCGGGAAACCGGAGCUAAUACCGGAUAACAUAUUGAACCGCAUGGUUCAACAGUGAAAGACGGUCUUGCUGUCACUUAUAGAUGGAUCCGCGCCGCAUUAGCUAGUUGGUAAGGUAACGGCUUACCAAGGCAACGAUGCGUAGCCGACCUGAGAGGGUGAUCGGCCACACUGGAACUGAGACACGGUCCAGACUCCUACGGGAGGCAGCAGUAGGGAAUCUUCCGCAAUGGGCGAAAGCCUGACGGAGCAACGCCGCGUGAGUGAAGAAGGUCUUCGGAUCGUAAAACUCUGUUAUUAGGGAAGAACAAAUGUGUAAGUAACUAUGCACGUCUUGACGGUACCUAAUCAGAAAGCCACGGCUAACUACGUG
rnacentral:rRNA from 1 species